rnacentral:rRNA from 1 species
AGUCGAGCGAAGCACUUUUGCGGAUUUCUUCGGAUUGAAGCAACUGUGACUGAGCGGCGGACGGGUGAGUAACGCGUGGGUAACCUGCCUCAUACAGGGGGAUAACAGUUGGAAACGACUGCUAAUACCGCAUAAGCGCACAGUACCGCAUGGUACGGUGUGAAAAACUCCGGUGGUAUGAGAUGGACCCGCGUCUGAUUAGGUAGUUGGUGGGGUAACGGCCUACCAAGCCGACGAUCAGUAGCCGACCUGAGAGGGUGACCGGCCACAUUGGGACUGAGACACGGCCCAAACUCCUACGGGAGGCAGCAGUGGGGAAUAUUGCACAAUGGGGGAAACCCUGAUGCAGCGACGCCGCGUGAGCGAUGAAGUAUUUCGGUAUGUAAAGCUCUAUCAGCAGGGAAGAAAAUGACGGUACCUGACUAAGAAGCCCCGGCUAACUACGUGCCAGCAGCCGCGGUAAUACGUAGGGGGCAAGCGUUAUCCGGAUUUACUGGGUGUAAAGGGAGCGUAGACGGCAUGGCAAGCCAGAUGUGAAAGCCCGGGGCUCAACCCCGGGACUGCAUUUGGAACUGUCAGGCUAGAGUGUCGGAGAGGAAAGCGGAAUUCCUAGUGUAGCGGUGAAAUGCGUAGAUAUUAGGAGGAACACCAGUGGCGAAGGCGGCUUUCUGGACGAUGACUGACGUUGAGGCUCGAAAGCGUGGGGAGCAAACAGGAUUAGAUACCCUGGUAGUCCACG